rnacentral:rRNA from 1 species
UACGUAGGGUGCAAGCGUUAAUCGGAAUUACUGGGUUUAAAGGGUGCGCAGGCGGAUAUGUAAGUCAGUGGUGAAAUCUCUGGGCUUAACCCGGAAAUUGCCAUUGAUACUAUAUAUCUUGAAUGCUGUGGAGGUAAGCGGAAUAUGUCAUGUAGCGGUGAAAUGCUUAGAUAUGACAUAGAACACCUAUUGCGAAGGCAGCUUACUACGCAGAGAUUGACGCUCAUGCACUAAAGCGUGGGGAUCAAACAGG